CCUACGGGAGGCAGCAGUAAGGAAUCUUCCACAAUGGACGAAAGUCUGAUGGAGCAACGCCGCGUGCAGGAUGAAGGCUUUCGGGUCGUAAACUGCUUUUAUAUGGGAAGAUUAUGACGGUACCAUAUGAAUAAGGACCGGCUAACUACGUGCCAGCAGCCGCGGUAAUACGUAGGGUCCAAGCGAUAUCCGGAAUUACUGGGCGUAAAGCGUGUGUAGGUGGAUUAAUAAGUGUGAUGCGAAAUCCGGCGACUCAACCGUUUGGACUGUGUCGCAUACUGUUAGUCUAGAGGACGGCAGAGGUAAGUGGAAUUACGGGUGUAGCAGUGAAAUGCGUAGAUAUCCGUAGGAACACCAAUGGCGAAGGCAGCUUACUGGGCCACACCUGACACUGAGACACGAAAGCGUGGGGAGCGAACAGGAUUAGAUACCCUGGUAGUCCACGCCGUAAACGAUGCAUACUAUUAGUAUGGGGUAUCGACCCCCUGUGCUGAGAAGCUAACGCGAUAAGUAUGCCGCCUGGGGAGUACGAGCGCAAGCUUAAAACUCAAAGGAAUUGACGG
rnacentral:rRNA from 1 species